UCUCCGUUGGUGAACCAGCGGAGGGAUCAUUACAGAGUUCCACAACUCCCAACCCCUGCGAACCGUACCCCAGUUUGUUCUCGUUGCCUCCUGGCGGCGGGCCCCCGGCGCCACCGCCGGGGCCCCCGCCAGCGGCGGCGAGUCCCCUGAACCUUUUUUUCUCAACCUGCCCGUCUGAGCAAACAAACAAAUGAAUCAAAACUUUCAACAACGGAUCUCUUGGUUCUG
rnacentral:misc_RNA from 1 species